AGCAAGAGUAAGAAGUAUUGGCAGCAGCAAGCAGGCGGGCAGGCUGAGAUCUUGCAUGGAAAUCAUGAACCAGGUCUUGCUUUUCGUUUUUGAAACGUUUUGGAAGGAGAGUUAUGAAUAGCCCAGAAAUAGGUCUCAUUUUGUGGGUAGGAAGAAUGACCAGAAGCAUGAAAGCUAAAUCUCCUGGCAAGUGCAGGGGACCUCUCUUGGAGUGUGCAGUAAACCCGAGGGGACGACUUCUCCUGCUGUCAACUCCUGAACCAUCACAUCUGGAGUGAAGGAAGGGGCUGGUGAAGCCUUGUAAUAAAUGCAAAGGAUGCUGCUGAGAGCUUUGGUCUGCCUUUAACUCAUUGUGGCAAAGUUGGACAUCCCAAAGAUGGCGUAGAUGAACAUGACGAGGAAAAGCAGGAGGCCGAUGUUGAACAGCGCAGGAAGGGACAUCAUCAGAGCAAAGAGCAGCGUGCGGAUCCCCUUGGCGCCUUUGAUCAGGCGUAGGAUUCGUCCAAUCCUGGCCAGGCGAAUGACUCGGAACAGGGUAGGAGACACGAAAUACUUCUCUAUCAUCUCAGCGAGAAACAUUCCUGUAUUGGAGGGAAAAAUAAACAGAAAUGUUUAAAGAUC
rnacentral:lncRNA from 1 species